AUGAACGUUGGCGGUGUGCCUAAUACAUGCAAGUCGAACGAAGAUGAUAGCGAGAUUGAUCAGGGAGUGGCGAACGGCUGAGUAACGCGUAAGUAACCUACCCUUAAGUGGGGGAUAACUUGCCGAAAGGCAGGCUAAUACCGCAUGUGCUGGUAAGCGUUAGCUUAUCAAUAAAGCUUUUGCGCUUGAGGAGGGGCUUGCGUCUGAUUAGAUAGUUGGCAGGGUAAUGGCCUACCAAGUCGAUGAUCAGUAGCUGGUCUGAGAGGACAACCAGCCAGACGGGGACUGAGAUACGGCCCUGACUCCUACGGGAGGCAGCAGCAAGGAAUUUUGCGCAAUGGGCGAAAGCCUGACGCAGCGACGCCGCGUGGGGGAUGACGGCCUUCGGGUUGUAAACCCCUUUUCACGAGGAAGAAAUAUGACGGUACUCGUGGAAUAAGUCUUGGCUAACUACGU
rnacentral:rRNA from 1 species